UACGUAGGGGGCAAGCGUUGUCCGGAUUUAUUGGGCGUAAAGAGCGUGUAGGCGGCUUGACAGGUCUGCUGUGAAAACUCGAGGCUCAACCUCGAGAUGUCGGCGGAAACCGUCUGGCUAGAGUCCGGAAGAGGAGAGUGGAAUCCCUGGUGUAGCGGUGAAAUGCGCAGAUAUCAGGAAGAACACCUAUGGCGAAGGCAGCUCUCUGGGACGGUACUGACGCUGAGACGCGAAAGCGUGGGGAGCGAACAGG
rnacentral:rRNA from 1 species